GACCGAGUCACCGUACUAAACCCAUCACCACGCGCUGCUGCCCAACAUCCCACCAUCUUGUUCGUCAUGGUCCACUCGUGCAGCCAGGAGGAGGAGGAGCUUCCAGAUGAUUCCACCUGGAUUCCUACAACGAUUCCUACACCGCGCCCGCCGGACCAGCUAUUCCAUCAUCUCCUUUUAUCUGGCUGACAUGGACGGUGGAUAUUUGGUUCAAUGCAAGCAAUGGAUUAUGUCAAGAUCUCCUCAUUUUUAUCUAAUUAUUUACAUCUUUUAUCUUUCAACAAACCCAUCCACCUUUGCUGGAUCACCUCCUCUUUCUUCCCUCCCCCCACCCCCCCCUCCACAACCCACUUCCUUUUGGAAACUAAGACACCGAGAAACUUUCCGGUUGAAACGUCUUCUGGACUAAAGCUGAUGGACUGGUGACUGUGAUGAGUGACUGUCUUUAUCCUGCAGGAAACCUGAGGAGAACACACACACACACACACACACGCACACACGCGCGCACACACACACACACACACACACACACACACACACACACACACACACACACACACACACACAUGCAUGGGUGAACACACACAGAGAGGCCACACAGGCAGUCAUUCAGGUUUCUGGUCAAAAUAAUAUGCAGAAAAAAAUGUGGUUUGAUUUAUGUGGCUGUCCGUUCCAGGUGGGUGGAGUUUGCCUGAUAGCGGGUGCAUUAAGUGCAGUGGAAGAAUUUUGAAGAUAAGAUUUUGAUGUUUCUUUUUUUUGCCCAUCUCGAGAGGUUCAUAGAUGAACACUUUGAUCUGAAAUACUUCAAUCAGCCUUGUGCUCAUCACUAACGCCGUUAAAAGGUUUCUGAUACACCUGCAAAUCCAUUUUCUGCAAUUACAUUAGUAUUAAAACAAAACCAAAACAGAUAAAAAAAUAUCAUCUUUAUGAACUGGGUUAUUGAAGGCCAAAUACAACACGUUUGAGCUGGGAAUGUUCAUCUCUUUUUCCCAACAAUGAUCGUAUCACUCCAUUAUCCUGCUACAAAUCUACAUUUAAGUGGAAGUUUAUUAAGAUCUACGGUGUUUAUCUGAAACUAAUGUCAUCGCAUAUAAUAAAUCGUCAUGUUUCUUUUUUAUUUUUUUAUUUCUGCUCAUUAAAAUGAGGUUUGAAGUACAUGUGAUCAAAAUCAACUGCAGAAAAGUUUAGCAGCUCCACAAACUGAAUCCAGCAUUGUGAUACAGAUAUCUCAACAGUCCGUGAUUGAAGCUUUUCUGCAAAACCCUGUUACGGGUUACAUGUUUCAUGAGGUACACCGGAAAAAGUACCAACUUUUUAAUUUGGUUUCACGCGGUUCAAUGUCUGCUACAAGCCUACAAUGACUGUGUUAGAAUCAAAGUAGUGUCAAAUGAUCAAGUAAAUGCACUGCAGUCAGUCGACUCCAACAAUAGGUAUUGUUUGCUUUCGUAGUGAUAAACCACUUAGAGUUUCAGCAUCUAGGCUCCAAUCUAAUCAAUGGGCGGGGGAGUUAACUUACACCUUGAAUCCAUACAACCGGAGCAUUUAAGUGGAAGCUGGGAAGUGGCAUCAGCCAUUAGAGAGAUGAGUAACUCUCCCAUCAAUUAGACUGUGAACGAGCUAAAGUAGCUGGAAUACACUGCAAAAACUCAAAAUCUUACCAGAAAUAUUUGUCUUAUUUUAAGUUAAAGUUAAAAUGUCUCAUUUUCAGUCAAAAAAUCUCAUUACAAUUAAAAGUCAUUACCAGAAAAAUAACUUGUUAUUUGACAUUUUUCACCUGUUUCAAGUAAAUUUUCACUUGAAAUAAGUAGAAAAAAUCUGCCAGUAGGACAAGAUUUAUCUUCUCAUUACAAGCAAAACAAUCUUGUUCCACUGGCAGAUUUUACUACUUAUUUUAAGUGAAAAUCUACUUGAAACAGGUGAAAAUUGUUGUUUUUUCCAGUGAUGAGUCUUGUUUUAAGUGUAAUGAGAUUUUCUUUUACUAAAAAUGAGUAAUUUUAACUAGAAAUAAGACAAAUAUUCUUGUUAAGAUUUUGAGUUUUUGCAGUGUAAUCAUGCAGAGGGAGGAGAGAGAGCAUAUAAACACUUGCUUUGCCUCCCUAAAUUAGUCCCAAAGAAGAAAUUGUUUUUAAUAUACCAGAGAACACUAGUUGUUUCUUUUUUGUUUUUGUUUUUUAUUUUAAUGUAUUUUCACAGCUGAAGAGUGUGGACUGAUUAUUUGCUGAUAACUGCAAACAAAGCUAACCUGAAUAAAGAAACCUUCCACACACA